rnacentral:rRNA from 1 species
AUUGAACGCUGGCGGCAGGCCUAACACAUGCAAGUCGAGCGAUCGGCGGACGGGUGAGUAAUGUAUGGGGACUGCCCGAUAGAGGGGGAUAACUACUGGAAACGGUGGCUAAUACCGCAUACUAUCGGAUAACCCAUAUGGGAUUAGCUAGUAGGGGGGGUAAAGGCUCACCUCGGCGACGCUCUCUCGCUGGUCUGAGGGGAUGAUCAGCCACCCUGGGACUUAGACACGGUCCAGACUCCUACGGAGGCAGCAGGGGGGAAGAUUGCACACUGGGCGCAAGCCUGAUGCAUCCAUGCCGCGUGUAUGAAGAAGGCCUUAGGGUUGUAAAGUACUUUCAGCGGGGAGGCGUUACCCGCAGAAGAAGCACCGGCUAACUCCGUGCCAGCAGCCGCGGUAAUAC